rnacentral:tRNA from 1 species
GGUUGUGGCUCAGUGGUAAAGCAUUUGCCUAGCAUGCAUGAGGCACUGGGUUCAAUCCCCAGCACCA